rnacentral:rRNA from 1 species
AUUGAACGCUGGCGGCAUGCUUUACACAUGCAAGUCGAACGGCAGCACGGGGGCAACCCUGGUGGCGAGUGGCGAACGGGUGAGUAAUGCAUCGGAACGUGCCCUGUCGUGGGGGAUAACACAUCGAAAGAUGUGCUAAUACCGCAUACGACCUGAGGGUGAAAGCGGGGGACCGUAAGGCCUCGCGCGAUAGGAGCGGCCGAUGUCUGAUUAGCUAGUUGGUGGGGUAAAGGCCUACCAAGGCGACGAUCAGUAGCUGGUCUGAGAGGACGACCAGCCACACUGGGACUGAGACACGGCCCAGACUCCUACGGGAGGCAGCAGUGGGGAAUUUUGGACAAUGGGGGCAACCCUGAUCCAGCCAUGCCGCGUGCGGGAAGAAGGCCUUCGGGUUGUAAACCGCUUUUGGCAGGAACGAAACGGUGCGGGCGAAUACCCUGUGCUAAUGACGGUACCUGCAGAAUAAGCACCGGCUAACUACGUGCCAGCCGCCGCCGUAA